UCUGCCUCCCAUAAGGAAGACAUCAAAAUCUUGCUGGUGUUGUUUCAUAUAUUGUAUUUCUUCAAAUUUAUUGUUUAUCAGGAGUGACUGAAAUGAAAAUAUAAUAGCGUCCAUCAUCAUCAUGGAAAUGGCUUUAAGAGAAAAUUGGUCAGAGGAAUAUUACUGCUUCCCAUUGUCAACUAGUAAAUAGUUGCAUUUGAA